AUAAUGUUAAAAAUGUUAAAACUGGAUUUCUGUUGUUAUGAUAUCAAUUGUAUUCUUUUAUCAUUUCCUUUCGUAUAAUCAAUUCUAUCGAUGUAUACUUUAUUGUACUCUUAUUAGCUUCCGUUGAACUAUCAAUUAUUAUUGUUAACUUCUGUAUUUAAUAUAAAUAUAAAUAAAACGAUGUGAGAAUCUGCUGAAGAUAAACAACCGAACCGUGAGAGUGGAAGUAAACAUUGAAACAUCAGAGUGAGAUAUAUGGGAAAGGAGACGACGAAAAGAGGAGAGCGUCACACACAGAGGGAGCAUAUAGAUACGCAGAUAGACACAGAGACACACUCGGCAGAAGAGUUUCCACAAUGGAAAGCAGCUCGUCCUGUUGGGGUGCCAUUGGACGGCCGACGAGAACGGAGACGAUGGAUGACAAUGAACAAUGGCAAUGAUGAAGUACAAACAAUGACACCGACGAUGUACAACAAGGGCGAACGACCAACAUUU
rnacentral:lncRNA from 1 species